rnacentral:rRNA from 1 species
GACGAAGGUGGCUAGCGUUGUUCGGAAUCACUGGGCUUAAAGAGCACGUAGGCGGCCUGUUAAGCACUUUGUGAAAUCCCCCGGCUUAACCGGGGAAUUGCUUGGUGUACUGGCAGGCUUGAGGCAAGUAAGGGCGCGUGGAACUCUUGGUGGAGCGGUGAAAUGCGUAGAUAUCAAGAGGAACGCCGGAGGCGAAAGCGAUGCGCUGGGCUUGUCCUGACGCUGAGGUGCGAAAGCCAGGGGAGCAAACGGG